rnacentral:rRNA from 1 species
CCUAAUCUCAACCUCAGGCAAACUCGAUGGGUCGAGAUGACUCAAGAGUAUAAUCCGAGUAUCGAGUAUACCCCAGGCAAGGCCAAUGUGAUUGCUGACGCAUUGAGCAGGAAAGCUUACUGCAACAUUCUGAUUCUCAAGUCUUAUCAACCCAAGCUUUGUGAAGCUUUCCGCAAACUUAACCUGCAAGUUGUUCCUCAAGGUUUCCUCGCCAACCUUCUAGUCUCUCCUACCUUGGAAGAUCAGAUUCGCCGAGCUCAGCUUCUUGAUGCUAUGGUGAAAAAGGUGAAGAUUGGGAUUGCCAAGAGUCAACCCAAGUACAAGUGCUACCGCCUUGAUGACAAAGACACUCUCUUCUUCAAGGAUCGUAUUGUUGUACCCAAAGGUGAACUUCGUAAAGUGAUCAUGAACGAGGCUCAUAAUUCUCUCCUCUCCAUCCACCCUGGGAGCAGGAAGAUGUAUCAG